ACUCCUCAUCUGAGAUUCUGAAAUCAGGAAACUCGUCAUAAAAAAACUUACUCAAAUUUUUGGUGAUUUAUUAAUCUGUGGAUUGAGCGUCCCAAAUCUUCAUGAAAAAAUCAAGCAAGGCUCGAAUUUGAGUGAGGUAGGUACUGUUCCAUAGUAGUGGAGGUUGAGUGACUGCAUAACAUCUACUAACUUCUAACUGGAGGCCAUGGUUUAGGCCAACACUGCAAACUCCUUUCGGCUCAGUGCAUCAAU
rnacentral:lncRNA from 1 species